UCUAGAAAGCAAAAUACCUUCUUGCUGGUUAUAACGUGUUGCUUUUCUAAAUAUUGCCUUCUAUUUCCCAUUCGUCGAGCAACUUCUGAUAUUAUUUCAAAGAUAAUUGAAGAUAAAGUAUUUCUCAUUCACGGGGUACCUAGCACUAUUUUAAUGGACAACGGACGUCAAUUUACCAGCCUCACGAUGAAAAAAUUAUUUGAAAAUUAUAAUAUCCCAAAUGUUUUUUAUACCCCUUUAUACACCCCACAAAUAAACACAGUAGAACGUUAUAAUAAGACUAUAAUGACGGCAGUUUCUACAUUUAUUGACGGCGACCAUAGGGUUUGGGACUCUAACAUUUCCAAGAUUCAAUUUGCGUUAAACAGCGCCGUAAAUGAGGUGACAGGGUUUACACCAUCAUUUUUGGUCUACGGGCGCGAGCUUGUUAGCUGCGGUUCACAUUACGUGGACUCGGACCUGGAAAACCAAAUAAUUUUCUCUCCACGCGAUGCCUACGCUGAAAACCUUGGUGUGUUGCAUAAAUUAUUUGACAAAGUACAACUGUCAUUAAUUAAAGCACACUCAAGAAAUAGUACUAACUAUAACCUUCGCCGUAGGAACGUGGACUUCAACGUGGGUGAUAUCGUUUGGAAAAGGACCUUUUACCAAAGCGACAAAGACAAUAAAUUCUCUAAAAAGUUAGCCCCUAAAUUCUUAAAAUGUCGUAUUGUUACAAAAAAAUCGAAAUUAGUAUACGAACUUGAAGACAUGGCAGGACGCAAUUUAGGUACCUGGCAUGUAAAAGAUUUUAAACUAACCUAGAAAUCAGAUUGCUUUAGGAUUAAUGGAUUUUUUUAGAAAAAUCCUAACCUAAAAAGGGGGGUAUGUAACGGUUCGUUACACGAAGAGUAACAAAAUAAAGUAAAAGUUAACAAAAAAAUAAAAUUUUAAUUAUAACUAAAAACUAAUUAAAAAUAUACUUACUUACUAAAACCUUAAUGACAAAAAUAAAAUAAAUAUAAACAAAAACUUAUACGUAAACUCGGGCGCAAAUGACGUUUUAAAUAUCUGUGAGCGCGAACGAUGAGUGAACGAAGUGAAAACAGGUUCGCCCCGGUUUAGAAUAAACCGUCGAAACAUCGCGGCGGAGUCCGAGCGAAGUUAUCAUAACGCAAGGACGUACGGCUUUUGUACUAAAACUGCCAAGUCACGACGAGCUACGAGUCGUUAAAUUCAUUUUUUAACAAUUUCUACAAAUCUAAGUUGUGUUGUGUUACCCCAAUAUCGGGGUCCCCGUUCCGGGUUUCAAACACUUCUCUCCGUGGAAGUUUGGGGCAAGAUUGCUGCCUUGGACAAUCAAGCCUGGUGGACCUGGGCUGCCAUCGAGAACAGUUUUACGCCUACCGGAAAUCUUAAGAUCAGUACCGUGGCCUUGAUUAUUUCUGGGACUUUGUGUCGCUCGGUUGCCAAUUAUUAACCCACUACCUGAACCUUCGUAAAUUAGAUUUAAUAAACCUUUUGUUGUACA